AGUAUUGGUGAUUUGCAAAAUAUCCAACCACACCUCUCCCUAGGGCAUGGCUCACCUCACCGGAGGUCCACCCACAAAGUAAUUAGGGAUACUUGACAAGUGAGAAUACUAUCCUGCGCUCAGUUGCUACAUGACCUGAGAUAUAAUAGGGAAGAAAUUGAGACGAUGGAUGGUUUUUCCCGAAAAAAAGAUUGGAAUGACGACAACUAGAGAAGAUGACAUAGGCCACACCCGGAUUUUUUCACCCACCCCUAUGCAAGUAUGCAUAAUUCUAUCAUGUGAAGAUCUAGGUGUGUGCUCUACUUAAUCCCUAGGGCAUAGUUACUCUCUCUUUCAAAAAUUCCCUUCCCUAAUUUUCUUGAAGGAAGCCAACAACGGACGAACCAGCAAAGCUACAAAGAUAUUUUAGGAGGAAUGAAGCUAUU
rnacentral:lncRNA from 1 species